rnacentral:tRNA from 1 species
GCGAGCGUGGCGGAAUUGGUAGACGCAGCGGCUUUAGGUGCCGCCAUCGCAAGAUGUGGGGGUUCGAGUCCCUUCGCUCGCACCA